CCCUACGGGUGGCAGCAGUGGGGAAUAUUGCGCAAUGGGCGAAAGCCUGACGCAGCGACGCCGCGUGGGGGAUGAAGCUUCUCGGAGUGUAAACCCCUUUCGACCCGGACGAACGCCCGCAAGGGUUUGACGGUACGGGUAUAAGAAGCCCCGGCUAACUACGUGCCAGCAGCCGCGGUAAUACGUAGGGGGCCAGCGUUGCUCGGAAUUACUGGGCGUAAAGGGUUCGUAGGCGGUGCGGUAAGUUGGAAGUGAAAUCUCUGGGCUUAACUCAGAGGCUGCUUUCAAAACUGCCGUGCUCGAGUGCGGGAGAGGCCAGUGGAAUUGCAGGUGUAGCGGUGAAAUGCGUAGAUAUCUGCAGGAACACCCGUGGCGAAGGCGGCUGGCUGGACCGCAACUGACGCUGAGGAACGAAAGCUAGGGGAGCAAACAGGAUUAGAUACCCUAGUAGUCC
rnacentral:rRNA from 1 species